UGGGGAAUAUUGCACAAUGGAGGGAACUCUGAUGCAGCGACGCCGCGUGAACGAAGAAGGCUUUCGAGUCGUAAAGUUCUUUUAUAGGGGAAGAUAUUGACGGUACCAUAAAAAAAAGCCCCGCCUACCUACUUCCCAGCAGCCGCGGUAAUACGUAGGGGGCUAGCUUUGUCCGGAAUCACUGGGCGUAAAGGGUUCGCAGGCGGAAAUGCAAGUCAGGUGUAAAAGGCAGUAGCUUAACUACUGUAAGCAUUUGAAACUGCAUAUCUUGAGAAGAGUAGAGGUAAGUGGAAUUUUUAGUGUAGCGGUGAAAUGCGUAGAUAUUAAAAAGAAUACCGGUGGCGAAGGCGACUUACUGGGCUCAUUCUGACGCUGAGGAACGAAAGCGUGGGUAGCAAACAGG
rnacentral:rRNA from 1 species